CAAGGCAGUGGGUUUGGGA
rnacentral:tRNA from 1 species